rnacentral:tRNA from 1 species
GCUCGCAUAGCUCAGAGGUAGAGCACUUCAUUGGUAAUGAAGAGGUCCCCGGUUCAAAUCCGGGUGUGAGCACCA